AGCAGUCGCCACGGUAAUACAGAGGAUGCAAGCGUUAUUCGGAAUGAUUGGGCGUAAAGCGUCUGUAGGUGGCUUUUCAAGUCCACCGUCAAAUCCCCGGGCUCAACCCUGGACAAGCAGUGGAAACUACCAAGCUGGAGUACGGUAGGGGUAGAGGGAAUUUCCGGUGGAGCGGUGAAAUGCGUUGAGAUCGGAAAGAACACUAACGACGAAAGCACUCUGCUGGGCCGACACUGAUACUGAGAGACGAAAGCUAGGGGAGCAAAUGGGAUUAGAUACCCCUGUAGUCCCUGUCUCUUAUAC
rnacentral:rRNA from 1 species